UGCAGUCGAACGGUCAGUAGCAAUACUGAUAGUGGCGCACGGGUGCGUAACGCGUAACCAACCUACCUGAAUCUGGGGGAUAGCCCGCCGAAAGGCGGAUUAAUACCGCAUAAAACAACAGAACGGCAUCGUUUAAUUGUUAAAGAUUUAUUGGAUUCAGAUGGGGUUGCGUGCCAUUAGCUAGUUGGGGAGGUAACGGCUCACCAAGGCGACGAUGGCUAGGGGAGCUGAGAGGCUGGUCCCCCACACGGGCACUGAGAUACGGGCCCGACUCCUACGGGAGGCAGCAGUAGGGAAUAUUGGGCAAUGGACGAGAGUCUGACCCAGCCAUGCCGCGUGCAGGAUGAAGGCUUUCUGAGUCGUAAACUGCUUUUGCCAGGGAAGAAAAAGAGGGAUGCGUCCUUCACUGACGGUACCUGGUGAAUAAGCACCGGCUAACUCCGUGCCAGCAGCCGCGGUAAUACGGAGGGUGCAAGCGUUGUCCGGAUUUAUUGGGUUUAAAGGGUGCGUAGGCGGCUCAUUAAGUCUGGGGUGAAAGCCCGUUGCUCAACAACGGAACUGCCCUGGAAACUGGUGAGCUUGAGUACAGACGAGGGUGGCGGAAUGGAUGCUGUAGCGGUGAAAUGCAUAGAUAGCAUCCAGAACCCCGAUUGCGAAGGCAGCUGCCUAGACUGUAACUGACGCUGANGCACGAAAGCGUGGGGAGCGAACAGGAUUAGAUACCCUGGUAGUCCACGCCGUAAACGAUGGAUACUCGCUGGUGGCGACAGACUGUCACUGGCUUAGCGAAAGCGUUAAGUAUCCCACCUGGGGAGUACGCUCGCAAGAGUGAAACUCAAAGAAUUGACGG
rnacentral:rRNA from 1 species